rnacentral:rRNA from 1 species
AUACGGAGGGUGCAAGCGUUGUCCGGAUUUAUUGGGUUUAAAGGGUGCGUAGGUGGUUUUUUAAGUCAGUGGUGAAAGCCAACAGCUUAACUGUAGAGGUGCCAUUGAUACUGGGGAACUUGAGUAUGGACGAGGUAGGCGGAAUUUGUGGUGUAGCGGUGAAAUGCAUAGAUACCACAAGGAACACCGAUAGCGAAGGCAGCUUACUGGGCCAUAACUGACACUGAGGCACGAAAGCGUGGGGAGCGAACAGGAUUAGAAACCCUAGUAGUCC